ensembl:lincRNA
GGACUUUCAAAUUACUCACGGGAAAGUACAGAUUCGGACACAUACUCUAAAGCCUGCAAUCCGGGUACAAGAUGAAGCGAGCUAUCAGAGUUUCUGCCAGAACUGGAAUGUGUAAGCGGACAGGAAGGUUAAGGCGAACCAUCACGCGGUUUGCAUCUCCGCCCUACUCAUGAAACCCUCUGCCCUCCCUUUCUGCCUCACCCCGAGACCCUCCUGCGGGCCAGUCACACCUGGCUACAUCUCCUAGAUGCCUUCACAACGGGACUGGCUUUAAGUGGGAUUUUUUACUCUAAGUCCUUGUCUCUCUCCCCACACUUAGCUCCGCGCUGUGUGUCCUGGAGUCAGACGCUCUCAGCCCCAACCCAGGCUAAACCAGCUGGAUAAGGAGUGUGCACGGGAAGAGCCUACUGGCCGAUGACAUUGAACGGCACAGGGUUCAUAGAGAGUUAGACACGCGUGUUCCUGGUCUUUGGGAGCACCCAGGCUACAACAGGACAGGCGUCGAGGAGACGGAAUGGCUGGCUACAUACGGGAAGGAAAGACGAGAGCUAACCAGAAGAAGCGAAGGACUAAACGCAAUAGAAUCUGGGCAGAGGAGGGAAGAACCCCAGGCGGACCGAGCUGUAAGAGAAAGGCAAGCUGGUGCCUAGAAGAUGGAUUAGUUCAGACAAUCCCCAAGGAAGGAGAUGGUUGGAAGGAUCCUGUGAACUGCGGUGAGGACAGCGGCCAGCACAAAGGCGAGUGUGGGCAGCCCCAAGCAGGCUUCGCUCACUCAAGGAGUCUCACAGAAAAGGCAAGCAAAGAAAGGGUUUCAAAUAUUUUCUUAACUGUUUCAAAAGUGCUUCAAAUAUUUUCUCAAGUGUUUUGAAUAUUUUCUUAACUUGGAAGCUCUGCUUAGUGUAAAGCAUGACAAGGGAAGGGGGGAGAAACGAAAUUACUGAUAACAACUUCUAACAAUAGAAAAUUGUAAUAUACUGGGUUUACAGAGGUUGUACUCUUACUUUGCUUCCACACCAGAUUCACACGACUAUCGCAUCCACAAUAAUGUAAAUUGUAUAACAAACCAUAUGUUUAUCGAUACAUUUCAGGAGCAAUUCUGAGCUCAUAAGACAUGCUGUGCUUUGACUUUUGCUAAACUAAUCUUUGAUAUAUUUGGACAAAAUUCAUUCAGGUACCCAGAUUGUGUUUUAUUUAACAUCAGCUCACUUCCCCCUUUCUCUUGCUUUUGGAAAACUCCCUAAAAAUCCAUUUGGCUGUUUUUGAUCACUUUAAAAUGGUUAAAAUGUUUCCUUUAUUGUCGGGGUGGGGGGUGACCAAAGGGGCGGGGGAGGCAGAUGCAUUUUUACACUCAUAACUGAACAAUAGCUUUUUUUAAAUAACUUUGGCAUGUACUAAAUUUGGUUGUAGAUGAAGAAUAAGCCCUUAUGUAAAGAAAGCAGAUUUCGAGUGUCUAUAUUUGUGAAUGUUUUAAAAAUGUCUUUCUUUAGAGAUCCAAUGCAGUCUGUUACUUUUCUUUAAAUAUGUUACGGUCCCUUUGCCUAUGGCCAUUGCAUACAUGAUUCACUGAUGACUUGAUUCUAUAAACAAUACAAUUUGAAAACCACAGGGGCUCCUCACUGGCUCAGUCAGCAGAUCAUACGACUCUUGAUCUCUGGGUGGUAAGUUCAAGCCCCAUGUGGGGCAUAGAGAUUAUUUAUAAAAAAAAAAUCAGAAGCUAUGUUAUGUGUCAUUAUGAGGUUUUAGAAAUGAUUAUGGACUCUAGGAAGAACUCAAGGAUACUUCCUGAUAUGAAUUUAGGGGACUAAGACAUAAAUCUUCACAAUACUUUUGGCUAAAGGAAAAGCCUCCUUAAAUCAUAAAGUUUGAAUUAUAGAAUAAUUCAUUAUUAAGAGAUAUUCAGUUUUAUUGCUUAAUACAUAUACAGCAACUUGAACUGUGAUUUAUCAGUGCCAUCAAAUAUAGGAUCUCUGUUUGAUUGGAACUGGUCCCAUGCCUGCUAUCACCCAACAUGGCUUCCAAGUGAGUGGAAGUUGGGGCACGCAUACCUUUCUAAAACUGGGACUCUCUGAGUCUGUUUACUUUAAUUACUGCCUGACCUUUAAUUACUGCCUGACCUUGAAAUAGAACCAUAGUUACAUGGUGAUGGUGCCAGAUUAGGUUUCCCACUACGGGAAGAGCCUCCCUCUGCAAAAGCCCAGACUGUUAGGCUCCCCUCCGGCCCCGCCAAAGCACACCUCCCUCCUGGAGACCCAGAGCCCAGGAGUGGGACCCCACCUAUUCAGAAAGAACUUGAGUCACCUUGAACACAGGAAUACUUCUCCCCUUGGGGAUCCUGAUGAGGUGCCACUCUCCCUGUGAAUGAAAACAAUCUUCCUUCACAAACAGCUUUUUCUUCUAGAAAAUGUGUCAUUCUACCGAGCAAAUUCUGCCUGUGUGCCCUAUCCCACACCACACCAUGAGUACUGUACCUUCAGACCGUGAAUGUCUUUUAACAAAUAACCUCUUUACAACAAACUUGUAGCUCAUCACACAAGUCCCAGAGUUUUUAAAAAUUUGUUUAAUCAACAUCAAUUUUAGGUUAAUACUCUCAUGGCCUGCCUUUGUAUACUUAAACACAAUUAAGUGUGUUUUUGCUCGAUUAUAUUUUAUGUUUGGGGUUUUUAAUCAAUCAGUCUCUGCUGUUGAGACAAUAUUGAGUCCUGGCACUUUCCUUUUUUUUUUUUUUUUUUUAAGAUUUUGUUGAUUGAUUGAUCGAUUUGAGAGAGAGAAAUUGAGUGCCAGCAGGGCGAAGGGCAGAGGGAGAGGGAAAGAGAGAGAAUCCCAAGCAGACUACAACCCCAGCACAGACCCCCAUCAGGACUCUAUCUCAUGAUGCCCACCAAAACCAAGAGUCAGACGCCCAACUGACUGAGCCACCCAAGCGCCCCGAAUGUUGGCACUUUCUAAGACUAAGAGGACAAUCGCGUUCCCAGAAGCUCUCUCUCUCAGGUGUUUUUCUUCCGUGGUGUAGUUCCCUUCUCACAAAGUCUCUAUGAGUUUUUCUCAGUUUACUGAGACUCAGAGAAGGAAAGAGCACAUCCCAGAAGUUGCUGCAGCUGGUGAGUGGGUGCAUGGAUGCUGGUGAGGCACGUUCCAGGAUGUCAGCAGUCCCUUAUAACACGGGGUCCAUUGUAAACCUGAUAAGCGGGUCUUCCAUGUUUCCAUGUGGAGGCCGGGAGCACCACGGGAAGUGGACAGGACUCAGGACGGACCCCUCGUAGGUCCUUGGGGAUCGCUUGAUCUCCCCACGCGUGGCCAGCAACUGCACUCGAGUUGGUCUGUCACAGUGGAAUCCGCUACUUUCCUCUGGCGCCUGCACAUCUCCCUCUGGCCAAGAGGAUGCCACGAGAGAGUCUGCUAGAUGUCCAUCGCAAAUCGUGGCAUGUGGUACACAGCCUUUUCAUGUAUUUUUAAACUUAUCUUUGAGAAAUCUAUAAAAAUAACUGCAGUGCGUUUGGUUGUAUCUUUCAUUUGUUCUUUUCCACAGCGCGUACUUACCAUCUGCUAUGUAUGAAUUUGGAGGUUUUGCCGGGAAUUAAAAUCAAACAAAUUCCAGUCUCCCCUGUCUAGAAAACAUUCUUCUCCUGUUGGAUUUUGGCAUAUUUGGUUGCUACCUGUUUUAAGUUUGUGAAUAAUUACUGAGAAUGGCUCAGAUUACUUUCUGAUAGCACCAUGCGACGUGUUUUGUGUUGUUUUGAAGUUAAAGUGACAUGGGUUUUUUUUGUUAGAAACAUCUCUGCCAUUCCUAGUUCUGCUAGAAAGACAUCUUUCUCUUGGAAUACUAUUUUAAUGCCCAAUUUGUACUGGCUCUGGGAUUAUCUCUCUAUAAACAGAAUCAAGGGACUUUCCUCAUCACUCACUUUUAUCGUAGAUACUCAGCACUGAAAUAAGUGUUCUCUGUACCUCUGAGAGCUAGAGUGGUUGCACUCCGUCUUCCACGACACCCAAGAAUGUGAGACAAGUCUAAGUUCAAGGGCAGACUUACAGUUCUUAUUUUUAGUCUAAAGUGUGUCUUGGGUGAUUUCUCUUCAAGCUUUCUUGUCAGGUGAAUGCUUAUAGAAAGCAAGUGAAACAUAACAGCGAAGAGCUGGUGUUUUGAACUCCAGAUUUCUGCGGGUUGGGUGUGAAGUCUGCUCAGCCUUGCUGGCUGGUGUGGAGCUGCCCCCGAGGGACCCGCGGGCCCAGCUGGAUUCACUUCAGAUGCCCAAAACCACUUCCCAGAUCCCUGGCUUCAGCAGUGCCGCAUUCCUGACAGCACUUCGCUCGACCUAAUGGACGGAGGGAAUGUGAUUCCCAGAUGACACCC